UCGAUUGUCUAGCUUCUAUAGGUUUUUUGCUUCUAGUAGGGCUAAUGUGGACACAAGAUCUUAGAUGGAUUUGUACCUAAACAAAAGUUUGUUACCACGAACUCCAUCAUUUGAUAAUUUAAGUUGAUGGAGGACAAAUGGAUUAAAAUUUCCAACAUUACAGAGGAUGGCUCAUGAUCUUUUAGCCAUUUCUGUCUCCAAUGCUGCUUCAAAAUCAACAUUUAGCACUAGUGGAAGGUUGAUUAGUCUGCAUCAUAGUAGACUUCAUCCAACUACUUUGAAGAAUUUAAUGUGUGCUCGCACUUGGUUAUGGAAUGAAAUAAAUGGCUCAACUUCAACGGUUGAUCAAGUCUCAUGUCCAACAUUACUUUACGAAGAGGAAGAGCCAAAUUCCAGUGGAAUUACUGGGCUGAUAGGGCUGUAGCUACUACCCAGCGCCCAUUAGUCAGAUUCUGGUGAACUUACGAUAAACCGCACAACUACAAGGAUUUUCCCUGUUGUCCUUGACGUCGAGAACCCAAAAUUCAAGAGAAAGUUGGAAAGGAUGGUGGAGAUUAACUCAAAACUAAUUGUUUUUAGUGAGAGUGAUGGCAUUCCAUUGGUGAAGAAUUGACUAUGUUAAAGAUAUUAUUAGUUCGAUUAUAAGUACUUUUAUGUGUCUUUUGUGAAUUUUUGCUAUGUGGAAGAAGCUUAAAUAAGCCAGGUGUGUUUUUUAA